UGGUCCCACCUGACCCCAUGCCGAACUCAGAAGUGAAACGCUGUAGCGCCGAUGGUAGUGUGGGGUCUCCCCAUGCGAGAGUAGGGAACUGCCAGGC
rnacentral:rRNA from 2 species